AUCGAACGCUGGCGGCAGGCCUAAUACAUGCAAGUCGAGCGAUCGGCGGACGGGAGAGUAAUGUCUGGGACACUGCCUGAUGGAGGGGGAUAACUACUGGAACCGGUAGCUAAUACCGCUUACCAUCAGAUGUGCCCAUAUGGGAUUAGCUAGUGGGUGGGGUAACGGAACACCAAGGCGACGAUCCAUAGCCGGUCUGAGAGGAUGACCAGCAAAACUGGGACGGAGACACGGUCCAGACUCCUACGGGAGGCAGCAGUAGGGAAUAUUGCACAAUGGGCCGAAGCCUGAUGCAGCCAUGCCGCGUGUGUGAAGAAGGCCUUCGGGUUGUAAAGCACUGUCGGCGGGGAGGCGUUACCCGAAGAAGAAGCACCGGCUAACUCCGUGCCAGCAGCCGCGGUAAUAC
rnacentral:rRNA from 1 species